rnacentral:rRNA from 1 species
ACGUAGGGGGCAAGCGUUGUCCGGAAUCAUUGGGCGUAAAGCGCGUGUAGGCGGCCUUGUAAGUCCGUUCUGAAAGCCCGGGGCUCAACCUCGGGAGGCGGAUGGAUACUGCAAGGCUCGAGUCCGGAAGAGGCGAGUGGAAUUCCCGGUGUAGCGGUGAAAUGCGCAGAUAUCGGGAGGAACACCAAUGGCGAAGGCAGUUUGCUAGGCUGAUUCAGACACUGAGAUGUGAAAGCGUGGGGAGCGAACGGGA